rnacentral:lncRNA from 1 species
ACGAGCGAAAACGGACCCCGAAAACGAAAAAGGCUGAAAUUUGGCUAAGUCCUAAAAAUGCUGAAAUUCUGGUCCUUUGGGGACCGGUCUCUCACUGCCUGGGACCGGUCCCAGAGCGCGAAAAAUGCCCAGUUCGGGCUGUUGCGAGGUUAGAAGAGUUGGGGGGCUUAUUUAGAAAUGUUACAAGUGUGAGAGGGGUUAAGAGAGGACUUUCUCUCUCUCUUUCUCUCAUUCCCUCACUCUCCCUCACGUUUCUCUCUCUCUCUCGCAACGAAAGAAAAAGAAGAAGAGAAGAAGAAGAAGAAAAGAAAGAAGGAGAAGAAGGAGAAGAAGAUCAAGAAGGUGGUCAUCUCCAUCUUCUUCUCUCCUUCCUUGCCAUUGGAGCAUCUUGAGAGGUAAGCUUGCUACCCUUGUUAAUGGUAGAUCUCUAAGGAUGUGGUUUUGAUCUCUAUCAAUGGUUUAGAUGGAAUCCUAGCAAGCUUAAUUGAUGAUUAGCACUUGAAUCCGAAGCUUUAAUAGCGGAUUUUGUCGUAAUUGCAAUUAGGGCUCCAAAAUGGGGUUUUGAUGCAUAAGGGGUUUUGAUCUCAAUUGACCCUUCUCUAAACUAAUUGGUAGGUCUACGAACCCAACGGUGCGCUCGGUUCGGCGAUCCGACGAGUGUACGCGGAGAUAUUGAGGAUCGAAGCCGUUAAGGUACAGAUUGCUGCAGCUCGCGGCGUAAGCUUCCAAAAACCGUGAAAAUGGAAUCGUAGCAUCGUGGUAUCGGGGAAUAAUCUCCAGAAUAGACAGAUCGCGGAUUGGUGGCCGUUCGGGUGGUCGCGCAAGAGUUUGGCCCGAACCGGAUCACGGGUGCCGCGGGAGGCCGAUUGCAAGUGUCGACAAGCAAUCGGAACGCGAUAAAAGGUGGGGAGUGUCGUACCGAAACAUCCGGGCUUCCUUUUAUGUCUAAGUUAUAUUUUGACCAUAUUCUUAUAUAUUGGUACAUUGUGCAUUAUAGGAUUAGUAGAUGAUUAUGUUUCCAUUCCUUGCAUGUUUCCUAUGUUGUGUAGCAUUGUGGGCUUGACACUUAAUCUUAGGUGACAUGAGGAUUGGGUCUAAUGACAAGAAUCCUAUAGUGACAAGAAUGAUGAUGAACUUGGACAU